UACGGGGGGGGCAAGCGUUGUUCGGAAUUACUGGGCGUAAAGGGUUCGUAGGUGGCCAACUAAGUCAGACGUGAAAUCCCUCAGCUUAACCGGGGAACUGCGUCUGAUACUGGAUGGCUUGAGUUCGGGAGAGGGAUGCGGAAUUCCAGGUGUAGCGGUGAAAUGCGUAGAUAUCUGGAGGAACACCGGUGGCGAAGGCGGCAUCCUGGACCGACACUGACACUGAGGAGCGAAAGCCAGGGGAGCAAACGGGAGUUAG
rnacentral:rRNA from 1 species